rnacentral:rRNA from 1 species
UAGGGAAUCUUCCGCAAUGGACGAAAGUCUGACGGAGCAACGCCGCGUGAACGAUGAAGGUCUUCGGAUCGUAAAGUUCUGUUGCAGGGGAAGAUAAUGACGGUACCCUGUGAGGAAGCCCCGGCUAACUACGUGCCAGCAGCCGCGGUAAUACGUAGGGGGCUAGCGUUAUCCGGAUUUACUGGGCGUAAAGGGUGCGUAGGUGGUCCUUCAAGUCGGUGGUUAAAGGCUACGGCUCAACCGUAGUAAGCCGCCGAAACUGGAGGACUUGAGUGCAGGAGAGGAAAGUGGAAUUCCCAGUGUAGCGGUGAAAUGCGUAGAUAUUGGGAGGAACACCAGUAGCGAAGGCGGCUUUCUGGACUGCAACUGACACUGAGGCACGAAAGCGUGGGUAGCAAACAGG